rnacentral:tRNA from 2 species
GGCCUGAUAGCUCAGUCGGUAGAGCAGAGGAUUGAAAAUCCUCGUGUGGGUGGUUCGAUUCCGCCUCAGGCCACCA